UACGGAGGGGGCUAGCGUUGUUCGGAAUUACUGGGCGUAAAGCGCACGUAGGCGGUUUUCCAAGUCAGAGGUGAAAGCCCAGGGCUCAACCCUGGAAUUGCCUUUGAGACUGGGAGACUUGAACACGGGAGAGGUGAGUGGAAUUCCGAGUGUAGAGGUGAAAUUCGUAGAUAUUCGGAAGAACACCAGUGGCGAAGGCGGCUCACUGGACCGUUGUUGACGCUGAGGUGCGAAAGCGUGGGGAGCAAACAGG
rnacentral:rRNA from 1 species